rnacentral:rRNA from 1 species
AGAACGAACGCUGGCGGCGUGGAUAAGACAUGCAAGUCGAGCGCUGAUUCAAGGGUAGCAAUAUUCUUGAGUCGGAGCGGCGCAAGGGUGCGUAACACGUGGGUAAUUUGCCGAUGAAGUCUGGAAUAACUUGCUGAAAGGUGAGCUAAUGCCGGAUGUGAUUUUCGGGGAGCAUUUCCUGAAACUCGAAAGUUGGGGACCGUAAGGCCUGACGCUUCUUGAUAAGCCCGCGGCCUAUCAGCUAGGUUGGUGAGGUAACGGCUCACCGAAGGCUAAGACGGGUAGCUGGUCUGAGAGGCGACCAGCCACACGUGAACUGAGACACGGUCCAGACACGUACGGGUGACAGGCAGUCCGAGUAAUUUUCACAGUGGACGAAGCCUGA